rnacentral:rRNA from 1 species
UGGAGAGUUUGAUCCUGGCUCAGAUUGAACGCUGGCGGCAUGCCUUACACAUGCAAGUCGAACGGCAGCGCGGGAGCAAUCCUGGCGGCGAGUGGCGAACGGGUGAGUAAUACAUCGGAACGUGCCCAAUCGUGGGGGAUAACGCAGCGAAAGCUGUGCUAAUACCGCAUACGAUCUACGGAUGAAAGCAGGGGAUCGCAAGACCUUGCGCGAAUGGAGCGGCCGAUGGCAGAUUAGGUAGUUGGUGAGGUAAAGGCUCACCAAGCCUUCGAUCUGUAGCUGGUCUGAGAGGACGACCAGCCACACUGGGACUGAGACACGGCCCAGACUCCUACGGGAGGCAGCAGUGGGGAAUUUUGGACAAUGGGCGAAAGCCUGAUCCAGCCAUGCCGCGUGCAGGAUGAAGGCCUUCGGGUUGUAAACUGCUUUUGUACGGAACGAAACGGUCUUUUCUAAUACAGAAGGCUAAUGACGGUACCGUAAGAAUAAGCACCGGCUAACUACGUGCCAGCAGCCGCGGUA